AGUGAACGCUGGCGGCGUGCUUAACACAUGCAAGUCGAACGAGAACGGGUUAUAGCUUGCUAUAAUUGUCAGCUAAGUGGCGCACGGGUGAGUAAUGUAUAGGUAAUAUGCCUCUUACUAAGGGAUAACAAAUGGAAACGUUUGCUAAUACCAUAUACUCCUUAUUAACAUAAGUUAAUAAGGGAAAGAUUUAUUGGUAAGAGAUUAGCCUGUAUUGUAUCAGUUAGUUGGUGGGGUACUGGCUUACCAAGACUAAGACACAUAACUGGUUUGAGAGGAUGAUCAGUCACACUGGAACUGAGACACGGUCCAGACUCCUACGGGAGGCAGCAGUGGGGAAUAUUGCACAAUGGACGAAAGUCUGAUGCAGCAACGCCGCGUGGAGGAUGACACAUUUCGGUGCGUAAACUCCUUUUAUAUGAGAAGAUAAUGACGGUAUUAUAUGAAUAAGCACCGGCUAACUCCGUGCCAGCAGCCGCAGUAAGAC
rnacentral:rRNA from 1 species